rnacentral:lncRNA from 1 species
UUUUUCCCUUUUAUAUGGAACCCUAGCUAUAUAUAUGUAGAUUCGAUGAUUAUAUUGAGAUUCGUUGACAGUUUCGUGAGCUCCGUUCAUCAAUGGCGUGAGAUCUGGUUGAAGUUUUGAGAUUCAGUCGUCAAUGGCGGGAGAUGUGGUUGAAGUUGUUGUUGAUUCGUCAAUGGCUUAAUUUUUUCAAGAUCUAAGGUUAGUUUAGUUGUGUUUUGUUGAUUUUUUUCAAAUUUGUUUUCGAUUUUGAGCAAGAUUGAUUUUUUUUCAUAUGAUUGUUUCAUUUGCUCUUCAUAGUGUUGAGGCUGUGAAAUUUAAUCGAGAUCUAAUCUAAUUGAUUCAAUUUUUUGAUUGAAUAAUGCGGAGGAAUUAGUAGGUUUAUGUUUUUGUUGUUCGUUGUUUGUUGCAUGUUUUUUUGUUAUGUAUCAGAGCGAAUAUUUACUGUUUGUUGAUUUUGAAUCUAAUGUUGAAUGGAACAGUGGAUAUCCACUAUAGUUUUUAGUCAGUAGUGAAUAUUCACUCUAGUUUUAAUGAAGCAGUGGAUAUUUACUGUUAUUUUAUUACGUUUUAAAUUAGAGAGUGAAUGUUCACUAUCAUGCGUUUUUUAAUGUUGUUUGAGAAUAGUGAUUUCACUCUUGUUUUUUUAUUGAUUUGAUUUUUUAAAUUUUUUGCUGAUAUAGGUUAAUUUGAACUGU